CCCUUAGAUGUUCUGGGCCGCACGCGCGCUACACUGAUGCAUUCAACGAGUUUCUUCCUGGUCCGAGAGGAAUGGGUAACCUUUUGAAAGUGCAUCGUGAUAGGGAUAGACUAUUGCAAUUAUUGGUCUUCAACGAGGAAUUCCUAGUAGACGUAGUUCAUCAGACUGCGUCGAUUACGUCCCUGCCCUUUGUACACACCGCCCGUCGCUCCUACCGAUUGAAUGCUCAGGUGAGCCAUUCGGACUUUCAUCAUGCCGGUUUCCAGUUUUGAUGAAGGAAAGUCUUGCGAACCUUAUCAUUUAGAGGAAGGAGAAGUCGUAACA
rnacentral:rRNA from 1 species